CGGGGGGCAGCAGUGGGGAAUUUUGGACAAUGGGCGCAAGCCUGAUCCAGCAAUGCCGCGUGCAGGAUGAAGGCCUUCGGGUUGUAAACUGCUUUUGUACGGAACGAAACGGUCCUUUCUAAUACAAGGGGCUAAUGACGGUACCGUAAGAAUAAGCACCGGCUAACUACGUGCCAGCAGCCGCGGUAAUACGUAGGGUGCGAGCGUUAAUCGGAAUUACUGGGCGUAAAGCGUGCGCAGGCGGUUUUGUAAGACAGAUGUGAAAUCCCCGGGCUCAACCUGGGACCUGCAUUUGUGACUGCAAGGCUAGAGUACGGUAGAGGGGGAUGGAAUUCCGCGUGUAGCAGUGAAAUGCGUAGAUAUGCGGAGGAACACCGAUGGCGAAGGCAAUCCCCUGGACCUGUACUGACGCUCAUGCACGAAAGCGUGGGGAGCAAACAGGAUUAGAUACCCGCGU
rnacentral:rRNA from 1 species